AGAGCGAGCUGGAUCGUCGCUGGUGGCUGUCAUGGCCGCUGGAGGAAAGUCCGGGCUCCAUCGGGCAGGGUGCCGGGUAAUGCCCGGCGAGGGAAACCUUAGGGACAGUGCCACAGAAAACAAACCGCCAGACGGCUAUUCUGGUAACAGGAUGUGUGAUGGUAAGGGUGAAACGGCGUGGUAAAAGCACACCGCACGGCUGGUAACAUACGUGGCAGGGAAAACCCCACCUGGAGCAAGAUCGAAUAGGAGGACCAUGAUGGCGGCCCGCCAAGUCCUCGGGUUGAUCGCUUGAGAUGAUCGGUGACGAUCAUUCUAGAUGAAUGACGAUCGUCCAUCGCAACUAUAAAAACAGGCCUGGAAGCGAUGGCAACAGAACCCGGCUUAUAGGCUCGCUCUGAUG
rnacentral:RNase_P_RNA from 1 species